GAUGAACGCUGGCGGCGUGCCUAAUACAUGCAAGUCGAGCGAACAGAUGAGGAGCUUGCUCCUCUGACGUUAGCGGCGGACGGGUGAGUAACACGUGGAUAACCUACCUAUAAGACUGGGAUAACUUCGGGAAACCGGAGCUAAUACCGGAUAAUAUAUUGAACCGCAUGGUUCAAUAGUGAAAGACGGUUUUGCUGUCACUUAUAGAUGGAUCCGCGCCGCAUUAGCUAGUUGGUAAGGUAACGGCUUACCAAGGCAACGAUGCGUAGCCGACCUGAGAGGGUGAUCGGCCACACUGGAACUGAGACACGGUCCAGACUCCUACGGGAGGCAGCAGUAGGGAAUCUUCCGCAAUGGGCGAAAGCCUGACGGAGCAACGCCGCGUGAGUGAUGAAGGUCUUCGGAUCGUAAAACUCUGUUAUUAGGGUAGAACAAAUGUGUAAGUAACUAUGCACGUCUUGACGGUACCUAAUCAGAAAGCCACGGCUAACUACGUG
rnacentral:rRNA from 1 species